UAUAUUGUUUUAUAUAUUUCAUAUAAGAUUUCGCUUGGAAUAAAAAUGGCUUCUGGGGCUAAAUGUGUAAUUUUGAAAACAAUUGUAAAUGAAAAAAAUGGAUUCCUUAUCUUGCUUUUUUAACUUAAAACUUAUUUCUUUUGUAAACAUUCUCAGCACAUUAGUGUACCAUCAAGUUUCUAACCUGGAAAAUAGAGAUUUAGAAGUCAACAGGAUAUGAUGGAAGGCAUGAAACAUCAAUAAGAUUGCUCAGCAAUAAUCUGUGUGAGGGUAGCCCGAGACGAGGAGCAGGCCAAGGAGUAGGCAGAAGAGAAGAAUGGAAAGAAGACAGAAGGAGUUGUCAGAGAGGUAGGAGGUAACAUUACACAACUUCUGUAAUGUUAAAGAAGCAAAAGGUGUCAGUGCUGCAGAGAUGUCACAUCCAAUGACAUAAAAGAAUCCACCGAACUCGGCCGUAAGGAGAAAUGUUAAGUAGUAUCUGAGGCUGCAAGCUUCCCAUCAAGAUAAGACAAGUGGGAUCUAAGUAAAGAUUCAUGGACCUUACUUUCUGCAGUAUUCUUGGACCAAAGGCAGUGGAACUAGAGCUCUUCCUGAUAGCCCUUGAGGAACCUGCAAGGAUCUAGCAAGAAGAGGUUUUAUAUCUUGUGACUCCACUGCAGCUCUGUGAUGGAGAAAUGAAGUCAUCAAGUCAUCAAUAUUGAAAUGUAACAUAGAAAUAAUUUAAUGUAAUAUAUGUGCUGCUAUUGUUCUGGGCAUGGAGCAAAAUCAAACUGAUCUCUGCAUCCCUCCCUCUAGGAACUCAUGUUAAAUAUGGGUAAAAGGAAGUGUGCUAAGCUUUAGUUCAACAAUCUUUGGCUUCCAAACAGAAUUCUCUAAUUUUUGAGGGUGGUGGUGGUGGUAAUUAGGUUUGUUUGUUUGUUUGUUUGUUUACAAUGGAGUUACUGGGAAUUGAACUCAGGACCUCAUGCAUGCUAAGCAUGCACUCCACCACUAAGCUAUACCCCUCUCCACCCAGAAUUCUUCUAAAUAGAAUUAGAGGUACUGAUAUGAAUCAGUUAAUCUACAUGUGCUAUGGGGUCUGGGUUCUGUAGAUUAUCAUGUCACUUCUUCUCUUGGUCCUCAGACACCAUGGUCCAAGAUCAGCUGGUUCACUAUUGGUGCUGAUUCCCAGGUCUGAAUCCUGGGGAAUUGGGAGUUGAUUGUUUCUCUAAGAGUAAUUUUCAUCUCUGAAACGUUAGCCUUUCCACCUUCAACCUGCUGUGACAUGACUUUUAUUUUC